CGCGUAGGCGGUUUGGUCAGUCAGAUGUGAAAGCCCCGGGCUCAACCUGGGAACUGCAUUUGAUACUGCUGAACUAGAGUAUGGUAGAGGGAAGUGGAAUUCCGGGUGUAGCGGUGAAAUGCGUAGAGAUCCGGAGGAACAUCAGUGGCGAAGGCGGCUUCCUGGACCAAUACUGACGCUGAGGUGCGAAAGCGUGGGUAGCAAACA
rnacentral:rRNA from 1 species